CCUACGGGCGGCAGCAGUCGAGAAUCAUUCACAAUGGGGGAAACCCUGAUGGUGCGACGCCGCGUGGGGGAAUGAAGGUCUUCGGAUUGUAAACCCCUGUCAUGUGGGAGCAAAUUAAGAUGCUAGUACCACAAGAGGAAGAGAAGGCUAACUCGGUGGCAGCAGCCGCGGGAAUACAGAGGUCGCAAGCGUUGUUAGGAAUCACUGGGCGUAAAGUGGGCGGAGGCUGUUUUGUAAGUCUGGUGUGAAAGGCUCGGGCUCAACCCGCGGACGGCAACUGAUACUGCGAGACUAGAGUGAAGGAGAGGGAAGCGGAAUUCUCGGUGUAGCGGUGAAAUGCGUAGAUA
rnacentral:rRNA from 1 species